rnacentral:rRNA from 1 species
UACAGAGGUCUCAAGCGUUGUUCGGAUUCAUUGGGCGUAAAGGGCUCGUAGGCGGCCAACUAAGUCGGAUGUGAAAUCCCCAGGCUCAACCUGGGAACUGCAUCCGAUACUGGAUGGCUUGAAUUCGGGAGAGGGAUGCAGAAUUCCAGGUGUAGCGGUGAAAUGCGUAGAUAUCGAGAGGAACACCUGCGGCGAAGGCGGGUUGCUGGGCUGACACUGAUGCUGAGGCGCGAAAGCCAGGGGAGCGAACGGG